GUAGCUCACCUGUUAAAAAAUUCAUUAAAAGGGAAACAAACGUUUUUAAGGGAUAUGACUACUAAAAGAUGUCAGCCAAUGGUACAUUUGAAUAUUUUAGAUCAUGAAUUGGUGAUCAUGUGUUGCUUUUUUUUAAUACUACUAGUAUAGUUUUCAAGAUAGUUGGCAACAAUAAGUAAACUAAAAGAAAAAUGCGUCUAAGUACACCAUUCAAUAGCCCAACCAAGCUUUUCAAUUUCCCAAGGUAAAACCUGUUUUUUUUUUAAUUUUCAAGGUACUUUUUGUUUAAUUUUCCAAAGUAAAAACUUUAAAGGGCAUAAUUCUAGAACGGUAAAUGACUUACUGCCCAUAUUCGAGCCCUGUCUGUGUGUUGUGGUUCUUGGAAUUGAAUUUUAUUAAAUUUACAUCAGGCAAACAUUAAGUUAGAGUGGCGAAACAAAAAUUGGACAGGAAGAUGGAAGGUCGGAAGGAGAGAAAUCUGGAAGAAAGGAAACACAGAAGGUAGACAGACAGAAGGACGGACGGUCGUGGCCUAGGCAUAACAACAUUAUUUAAUGCAAUGACUCUUAUACACGAAAGAGUCUUAUGAUAAUGUUGGUGCAUAGAAGAAGUACUGUAUGUAGAUAUUACCAUUUUGACCAUUUUUGCCUCCUCAAAUUUCUGUUUAUUGCAUUUUCGAGAUAUAUAAGAUAUUUAUUUAGAUGUGGAGCUAGGCCAUGUUUAUUGACUGACUGAAAAAAAGACCAGACUCAAGCUGGCAGCCACUUUCAUCGGCCAAUCAAGAUAGCAGCCACUUUUUUCCAGCAGCCAAUUUUGACGAUAUGUCUAAAAACCAAAAAACUAUGUGAGGCUCAAACGUUCCAAAAAUCGCUAAAUCUUAGUAAAAUGCAAUCUAACAGCGGAAAUCGACAAUUUCACGGUUUCUGCUAAUUUCUAAAGC
rnacentral:lncRNA from 1 species